CUACUCUUGACAUCCAGAGAACUUGGCAGAGAUGCCUUGGUGCCUUCGGGAACUCUGAGACAGGUGCUGCAUGGCUGUCGUCAGCUCGUGUUGUGAAAUGUUGGGUUAAGCCCCGCAACGAGCGCAACCCUUAUCCUUUGUUGCCAGCGAUUCGGUCGGGAACUCAAAGGAGACUGCCGGUGAUAAACCGGAGGAAGGUGGGGAUGACGUCAAGUCAUCAUGGCCCUUACGAGUAGGGCUACACACGUGCUACAAUGGCGCAUACAAAGAGAAGCGACCUCGCGAGAGCAAGCGGACCUCAUAAAGUGCGUCGUAGUCCGGAUCGGAGUCUGCAACUCGACUCCGUGAAGUCGGAAUCGCUAGUAAUCGUGGAUCAGAAUGCCACGGUGAAUA
rnacentral:rRNA from 1 species